GGAUAGGAUAUCUGCCCAGAUCAUUUCUAGUCAGACAGCUGGGAGUAGUUUUAACUAUGCACAUCUGUGUGUGUUUAGUCAUCUUUUUUAAUGUAGCUAAUAAUCUCGUUUAUAAGACUUUUUGGACACACAUUAAAUGCUCUUCUGUCUCCGAUGUGCACUACUAAAUGAAGACUGAUGUCUUCUCUAGACUUGGAACAAAACUGAUGGAAAUUUGGUGGGUUCUCAGAAGUGUGGGCCUCUAUGUAAUUAGGUAAAAAAUUCAGUUUCCAGUUAGAGCUGAAUUUCUUCUGAGCCUUUGUGUGCAUGUCCUUGGAGAUGGAUUUAGAGAGGUUUCAGCUUAAAAAGGCGGUGUUGAGGUUACCACCUUCUGGCAAUGCCUUUCUGGGAUGCUUGUAGCUGCAGUUAAGUAUAGCAGGCUCUGACCUGCUGUCAUACUGGAGUGUAUUCUGCUCACCCCCACAUCACAUAUGCCUUGGGGCACAUUCGUAAGAGAGAGAAUCCUUUUCCUCUAUGGUAUGUUCAGAUAAAAUAGCCCCUGGUGGAGGAAUCAUGUCUGGAAACCCAAGGGACUGAAUUUUAUACCCUUACUGUGACUUCACUGGUUUACCUAGACUGCUUCCUGGAUGACCACCAUUCUUAAAUCCAUUCAAAAUACCACAGAUAAGGCCUCAGUUAAAGUAUCAGCUUUGUUUGGUACUUGGCAAUUUGGAAAGGACGUGGCCAGCUGCAGCAACCUGGGUUGUGGCUGGUGCAUCCAGGGAUGUGACAGGGGAAAGGGUUCAGCUACAGAGAGAGCUCUUUCAAGUUUUUAAAGGCAGGAUUGCUGGAGGCCAUUCACUUUCUGGCAUCAGUGCUGCACAUCACUGCAUGACCUUACGUACUGUAUGGAGCCGUACAGCAUGCCAACACUUCACCAGCUCCCACUGAAGAAUAGCCCCCAAACACCACUCAAGAAUAAUGGAAAUAUAUGAAUGCACAAGAGCAAGCCCAGGGAGUAAGGUUCAUGCUUUCAUGUUCAGGAAAUGGUUCUGUGGUUUCCAAUGUUUAAUUUUAUAAACCUAGAUGUAGUGCCAUUGAUUAUGUAAGAAUUAAUCAUGCACAUAUAAUUAAAAGCUUACUGGACUUAAUAUUUGUGUGUGUUUCUAUAUUUGUGUACACAUUUUUAUAUCAGACAACAUUUGUGUCCUCAUCUUGCUAAACAAACAUCUGAAAUCAUUGCUCUUGUGGAUAUUUAACUGGAAAUCUUGGAGUCUAAUCAAGAAAGCCUUAGCAAUGGUUUAAACCUAAUCUUCAAAUCUGAA
rnacentral:lncRNA from 1 species